CAAAGGACCUGCACAUUUCCUUCUCUCUGCACUCUCUCUUCUUGCCAAAUUUUCAGGUAUUCAUUUCCUGUUUCCCAGAGGAGGGAAAUGCAGAGUAUCACGUUUUAAAACAGUUACCCUGGCAAGGGAAGGAAGAGAGAAGAAAAUAGUCUGACUUCUUCGGAUGGAGUUUUUGCCAUGGCCCCACCGGGGAAGCAGAAAGGCAACACUAGCAGGGAAUGGAAUGGAAGGCGCUGUGGCCCUCGAUGGACACAAUACACUGGUCUAUUGUGCGGCGAGCAGAGCAAGCUUGGACUCCAUGAGGAGACAGGACGGGGUCACUAGAGACCCAGCUGAAUGAAAAUAUGCCCAUUGGGGGAAAAAGAAAAAAGCCUAAGAAAAAAAAAAAAAGAAGAAGAAGAAAGUAAAGAAACCCUGUUAUCAUUCUGUAAUCCCACACCCUAUUUCAGGCCAGUGUUUUGGCGUAUUUCCCCC
ensembl:lncRNA